CGGGCGCAGCGGCCGAGGAGAUCAACACCAAGGAGGUGGCGCAGCGCAUCACGGCGGAGCUGAAGCGCUACAGCAUCCCGCAGGCAAUCUUCGCGCAGCGGAUCCUGUGUCGCUCUCAGGGCACGCUCUCCGACCUGCUGCGCAACCCCAAGCCGUGGAGCAAGCUCAAAUCCGGCCGCGAGACCUUCCGCAGGAUGUGGAAGUGGCUGCAGGAGCCAGAGUUCCAGCGCAUGUCGGCGCUGCGCUUGGCAGGAAGAUCCUGAGAGAAAACCUGAGGCUCAAGGCCUUCCUUGAGGGAGGGGGAAACUUCGUGGUUGGAAGGCAAGUGUCGCCCAGAGCCCAGCUCCUCUCAGGGACCCCCAGAUGGGAGCUGGGAGCCUCUUGUUAGCCCUGCCGUAUUCAUUCAGGACUUUUCUGGCUAGACCCUUCCCCACAGCCCAACCAUGAUCAAGACCAUCUUACAGUUGGGGAAACUGAGGCUAAGAUGGUCCAACACCAGGCAGGGCCCAAGAGGGCAGCAGGUCAGACCACCCUCUUGGGCCCCGGGGUGGUUGGCUGUCCCCAGCAACUUUUAGAAAGGCAGGAAGUGGGAUAGAGCUGGUGUGUGUGGGCCAAAUCCCAAGGGGUCUGCAGGAAACGCCUUCAUCCGGAACUUGAGGGUCUCCCCCCAGUCCAGCCCCCUUUCCCCCGCAUGAGACACAGCCUACAGCCCCCGCCCUUUCCUGGGUUGGGGCGGGGACGGCUGCCCUCUGCUGGACACAGCGGGAACAGCAGGGAUAACUGAGCGAAGGGGCGGCCACAUCCCCGGGACCUCCCCGCCCAGAGAUUUCCUGAUCCCACCUGCCCAGAAAAGAAAACGACCCUUGUUGAUGCUGGGGGCGGCGGCGCAGGCCCAGGACGGUGCCCUGGGGCGGGAGGCUGGAUGCUACAGUAAAGCCACCAUGACUGCGUUUGCCGGGCUCCCUGUGCAUGGGCUCAGAUGUGGGCAUGGGGUCUCCGUCUCUUCUAGUUGAUCUCUGAUCUCCUCCCAGGGCCCCGGGGACCCCCAGGAACCAGCCCCAGAUCCUCCUCAUCCUUAGAUUCCAAAAAGACUGAUAACCGUUGGGGAGAUGGGAUGGGUGGUGUACCUGGAGUCCUCAGAUCAGAGCCUCUCGGGGGUGAUUGCUCCUGGAAUCAGGGCCUCAGUCCCCAGGGUCCUGGAGGAGGUGCAGGGCUGGCUGCAUGGAGUGGGCAUCCUGUCAGGACCCAAACCCUCACUCAAUGGGGCCCCUGGACAGAGCAGGUGAAUUGUUGUAAAAAGAAGGGGUGUGGCAGGGGUGACAGGGAGAGUUGUG
rnacentral:lncRNA from 10 species